AGUGAACGCUGGCGGUAGGCCUAACACAUGCAAGUCGAACGGCAGCACAGUAAGAGCUUGCUCUUACGGGUGGCGAGUGGCGGACGGGUGAGGAAUACAUCGGAAUCUACUUUUUCGUGGGGGAUAACGUAGGGAAACUUACGCUAAUACCGCAUACGACCUACGGGUGAAAGCAGGGGAUCUUCGGACCUUGCGCGAUUGAAUGAGCCGAUGUCGGAUUAGCUAGUUGGCGGGGUAAAGGCCCACCAAGGCGACGAUCCGUAGCUGGUCUGAGAGGAUGAUCAGCCACACUGGAACUGAGACACGGUCCAGACUCCACCGGGAGGCAGCAGUGGGGAAUAUUGGACAAUGGGCGCAAGCCUGAUCCAGCCAUACCGCGUGGGUGAAGAAGGCCUUCGGGUUGUAAAGCCCUUUUGUUGGGAAAGAAAAGCAGCAGGUUAAUACCCCGCUGUUCUGACGGUACCCAAAGAAUAAGCACCGGCUAACUUCGUG
rnacentral:rRNA from 1 species